rnacentral:rRNA from 1 species
UAGGGAAUCUUCCGCAAUGGGCGAAAGCCUGACGGAGCAACGCCGCGUGAGUGAUGAAGGUCUUCGGAUCGUAAAACUCUGUUAUUAGGGAAGAACAAAUGUGUAAGUAACUAUGCACGUCUUGACGGUACCUAAUCAGAAAGCCACGGCUAACUACGUGCCAGCAGCCGCGGUAAUACGUAGGUGGCAAGCGUUAUCCGGAAUUAUUGGGCGUAAAGCGCGCGUAGGCGGUUUUUUAAGUCUGAUGUGAAAGCCCACGGCUCAACCGUGGAGGGUCAUUGGAAAAUGGAAAACUGGGGUGCAGAAGAGGAAAGUGGAAUUCCAUGUGUAGCGGUGAAAUGCGGAGAGAUAUGGAAGAACACCAGUGGCGAAGGCGACUUUCUGGUCUGUAACUGACGCUGAUGUGCGAAAGCGGGGGGAUCAAACAGG